AUUGAACGCUGGCGGCAGGCCUAACACAUGCAAGUCGAGCGAGCGGCGGACGGGUGAGUAAUGCCUGGGAAUUGCCCAUUCGAGUGGGAUAACAGUUGGAAACGACUGCUAAUACCCCAUACGAUUGGAUUCCCCAGGUGGGAUUAGCUAGUUGGGGAGGUAAUGGCUCACCAAGGCGACGAUCCCUAGCUGGUCUGAGAGGAUGAUGAGGCAAGCGGGAAAUGAGAAUAGGAGACGGCUCGUACGGGAAGGAGCAGGGGGGAAUAUUGCAGAAUGGGUGAAGACCAGAUGCAGGCCUGCCGCGUGUGGUAAGAGGGAAAUAGGGUUGUAAAGCACUUUUAGCGAGGAGGCGUUACAUGUAGAAGAAGAACCGGCUGACUCCGUGCCAGCAGCCGCGGUAAUUC
rnacentral:rRNA from 1 species